rnacentral:rRNA from 1 species
ACUGCUAAUACCGGAUGAUGACGUAAGUCCAAAUAUUUAUCGCCGAGGGAUGACCCCGCAUAAUAUUAGGUAGUUGGUGUGGUAAAGGCGCACCAACCCAACUAUCUUUAGCUGGUCUGAAAGGAUGAUCACCCACACUGGGACUGACACACCGCCCACACUCCUACGGGAGGCAGCAGUGGGGAAUAUUGGACAAUGGGCGAAAGCCUGAUCCAGCAAUGCCGCGUGAGUGAUGAAGGCCUUAGGGUUGUAAAGCUCUUUUACCCGGGAUGAUAAUGACAGUACCGGAAGAAUAACCCCCGGCUAACUCCGUGCCAGCAGCCGCGGUAAUACGGAGGGGGCUAGCGUUAUUCAGAAUUACUGGGCGUAAAGCGCACGUAGGCGGCUUUGUAAGUCAGGGGAGAAAGCCUGGAGCUCAACUCCAGAACUGCCUUUGAGACUGCAUCGCUUGAAUCCAGGAGAGGUGAGUGGAAUUCCGAGUGUAGAGGUGAAAUUCGUAUAUAUUCAGAAGACCACCAGUGGCGAACGCGGCUCACUGUACUGUUAUUGACACUGAGGUGCGAAAGCGUGAAGAGCAAACA